rnacentral:misc_RNA from 1 species
UAUUCCUUGAGGUAUGCCUGUUCGAGCGCCGUUUAAAUUCUCAAGCUUUGCUUGUUGUUGAGCUUUGUCGUUUUCGACAGGUUUCAAACUCAUUUGCCCAAGUUGGCUUGCAUGAAGCAGUGAAAGUGUAGAUUGCAAGUAAACCGGCAGAUAAACGAUCGCAUGGCCUCGGAUCAGGUAGGGCUACCCGCUGAACUUAA